rnacentral:rRNA from 1 species
UACAGAGGGUGCAAGCGUUAAUCGGAAUUACUGGGCGUAAAGCGUGCGUAGUCGGUUAAUCUAAGUCGGGUGUGAAAGCCCCGGGCUCAACCUGGGAACUGCAUUUGAGACUGCUCUGCUCGGGUGCGGAAGAGGGAAGCGGAAUUUCCGGUGUGAGCGGUGAAAUGCGUAGAUAUCGGAAGGAACACCAGUGGCGAAAGCG